rnacentral:rRNA from 1 species
UGGGGAAUUUUGGACAAUGGGCGAAAGCCUGAUCCAGCAAUGCCGCGUGUGUGAAGAAGGCCUUCGGGUUGUAAAGCACUUUUGUCCGGAAAGAAAUCCUUGGCUCUAAUACAGUCGGGGGAUGACGGUACCGGAAGAAUAAGCACCGGCUAACUACGUGCCAGCAGCCGCGGUAAUACGUAGGGUGCAAGCGUUAAUCGGAAUUACUGGGCGUAAAGCGUGCGCAGGCGGUUUGCUAAGACCGAUGUGAAAUCCCCGGGCUCAACCUGGGAACUGCAUUGGUGACUGGCAGGCUAGAGUAUGGCAGAGGGGGGUAGAAUUCCACGUGUAGCAGUGAAAUGCGUAGAGAUGUGGAGGAAUACCGAUGGCGAAGGCAGCCCCCUGGGCCAAUACUGACGCUCAUGCACGAAAGCGUGGGGAGCAAACAGGAUUAGAUACCCUGGUAGUCCACGCCCUAAACGAUGUCAACUAGUUGUUGGGGAUUCAUUUCCUAGUAACGUAGCUAACGCGUGAAGUUGACCGCCUGGGGAGUAC